AUUGAACGCUGGCGGCAGGCCUAACACAUGCAAGUCGAGCGGCAGCACGGGAAGCUUGCUUCCUGGUGGCGAGCGGCGGACGGGUGAGUAAUGCAUAGGAAUCUGCCCGAUAGUGGGGGAUAACCUGGGGAAACCCAGGCUAAUACCGCAUACGUCCUACGGGAGAAAGCAGGGGCUCUUCGGACCUUGCGCUAUCGGAUGAGCCUAUGUCGGAUUAGCUGGUUGGUGAGGUAAUGGCUCACCAAGGCGACGAUCCGUAGCUGGUCUGAGAGGAUGAUCAGCCACAUCGGGACUGAGACACGGCCCGAACUCCUACGGGAGGCAGCAGUGGGGAAUAUUGGACAAUGGGCGCAAGCCUGAUCCAGCCAUGCCGCGUGUGUGAAGAAGGCCCUCGGGUUGUAAAGCACUUUCAGUGGGGAAGAAAGCCUUGGGGCUAAUACCCUCGAGGAAGGACAUCACCCACAGAAGAAGCACCGGCUAACUCCGUGCCAGCAGCCGCGGUAAUACGGAGGGUGCGAGCGUUAAUCGGAAUUACUGGGCGUAAAGCGCGCGUAGGUGGCUUGAUAAGCCGGUUGUGAAAGCCCCGGGCUCAACCUGGGAACGGCAUCCGGAACUGUCAGGCUAGAGUGCAGGAGAGGAAGGUAGAAUUCCCGGUGUAGCGGUGAAAUGCGUAGAGAUCGGGAGGAAUACCAGUGGCGAAGGCGGCCUUCUGGACUGACACUGACACUGAAGUGCGAAAGCGUGGGUAGCAAACAGGAUUAGAUACCCUGGUAGUCCACGCCGUAAACGAUGUCGACUAGCCGUUGGGAGCCUCGAGUUCUUAGUGGCGCAGUUAACGCGAUAAGUCGACCGCCUGGGGAGUACGGCCGCAAGGUUAAAACUCAAAUGAAUUGACGGGGGCCCGCACAAGCGGUGGAGCAUGUGGUUUAAUUCGAUGCAACGCGAAGAACCUUACCUACCCUUGACAUCGUGCGAACUUGGUAGAGAUACCUUGGUGCCUUCGGGAACGCACAGACAGGUGCUGCAUGGCUGUCGUCAGCUCGUGUUGUGAAAUGUUGGGUUAAGUCCCGUAACGAGCGCAACCCUUGUCCCUAUUUGCCAGCGAUUCGGUCGGGAACUCUAGGGAGACUGCCGGUGACAAACCGGAGGAAGGUGGGGACGACGUCAAGUCAUCAUGGCCCUUACGGGUAGGGCUACACACGUGCUACAAUGGUCGGUACAAAGGGUUGCAAAGCGGCGACGUGGAGCUAAUCCCAUAAAGCUGAUCUCAGUCCGGAUCGGAGUCUGCAACUCGACUCCGUGAAGUCGGAAUCGCUAGUAAUCGUGAAUCAGAAUGUCACGGUGAAUACGUUCCCGGGCCUUGUACACACCGCCCGUCACACCAUGGGAGUGGACUGCACCAGAAGUGGUUAGCCUAACUUCGGAGGGCGAUCACCACGGUGUGGUUCAUGACUGGGGUGAAGUCGUAACAAGGUAGCCGUAGGGGAACC
rnacentral:rRNA from 1 species